rnacentral:rRNA from 1 species
AUGCAGCAGCCGGCUACCAACAUCGCUCCCCACACCCAACACCCACCACCUUCUUUGGCCCGUGCUGCAGGGGCUAGAUCUAGAGCUACAUGUUCUCUCCCCGGACACCUCCUCUUGCAAUCUAGCCAUCCGUCUCGGCCCCGCCAUGUGGAGGCUCUCGCCGGCCCUGCCACUUGCUCCCAUGGAAUCUCCAAUGGCAACGUCGGCCAAGAUAUACAACUAAGGACGGACAAGUUCUUUGAACUGGAGAUGACCGUCCAUGACAGCGAACUGGACCAGUAUGGAGUCGUUCACAAUGCCAUGUAUGUUGUUUACAUCCACAAAGCUCGAGAGGAGAUGGCUGCGAGCAUUGGCUUCAGCAUGACCUCCAUAGCAAGCAGCGGCAACGCGAUGGCAGUCUUGGAACUGAACCUCAAGUACUUCAAGCCUCUACUACGAGGUGCCAAGUUCGUUGUCAAGGUGAGGCUCGUCCAGAUAAAGGGCACACGGAUACUCGUCGAUCACAUCAUCGAGACGCUGCCAAACCGUGAGCUUGUUUUGGAAGCGACGGCGACCGUCGUCUGCCUCAACAAGGACUACCGUCCCACCCGCGUCUUCCCGGAGAUGUCGUUCAAGCUGCGGCGCUUCUUCUCGUCCCAGGACGACGAGGGUGGAGACCAGCUUACAAGUUAUAAAGUGUUGUCGUAA